rnacentral:lncRNA from 1 species
AUUAUGAAAUUUGCAAUUACUCGUUUAUUUAAUUGAUAUUCUUCUUAUGAAUAAUCAUGCAUUCUCAUGAAAAUAUAUGCCUAGACUUACAAGCUAGACUAAUAUAUGUAAGAUCUAAAAUAUUAAUCACUUUUUCUAAGGUAUGCAACCACAUAUACCAGCACAAUCAUGAUAACAUGGUCCGUGAUCACGCACCUUCUGAAAAUAGCAUUUCAAAGUACAAUGGCUGUAGCAGCUAAUACUAAUGCUAGGACAAGAAGUAGAGAUUUGAAUGGCUUGUCCAUUCUCAAGUGAAGCAAACAUGAUUAUCAUGCUAAUGAAGAUAACAAGCGCAUCUUUGUUGUGGGCCAUAGACAACAUGAACAAAUGAUCUCUUUCAAUUUGAGUUGAAUAGUUG